rnacentral:rRNA from 1 species
CGCAUCUGUGCAUGCAGCAUAUCAAUAAGCGGAGGAAAAGAAACUAACAAGGAUUCCCCUAGUAACGGCGAGUGAAGCGGGAAGAGCUCAAAUUUGAAAUCUUAAAGGGUUUCCCUUUACGAAUUGUAGUUUAAAGAAGUGUUUUCUGUUGAGGUUUUGGUAAAAGUUCUUUGGAAUAGGACAUCAUAGAGGGUGAGAAUCCCGUAUUUGACCUUUACUUUCAACUUUGUGAUACACUUUCAAAGAGUCGGAUUGUUUGGGAAUGCAGUCCAAAAUGGGUGGUAAAUUUCAUCUAAAGCUAAAUAUUGGCGAGAGACCGAUAGCGAACAAGUACCGUGAGGGAAAGAUGGAAAGAACUUUGAAAAGAGAGUUAAACAGUACGUGAAAUUGUCAAAAGGGAAGCGUUUGACACCAGUGUUGUUUUUCUGAAAAUCAAUUAAAGAACUGUUUAUGCUAAGCUGUUUAGACUUUAUCAGCUAACUGUUUAGUUUUGAGCUUUUCUUUAAUGCACUUUUCAGUUAACAAGUCAACAUCAAUUUCUUUUGCUGUAAAAAAGCUUGAGGAAGGUGGCUUGAGAUUCGUCUUAAGUGUUUAUAGCCUCUUGCCUAUGCAGUCGGAGAGAUUGAGGUCUGCAGCGUAGAUCCUUCGGGGCUAAAUGCAUUUGUGCUAAGUUAUAGCAUUUUAUAGACAACUUGUUGACUAUGAUUUGUCUUGUAGCUUACUCGCUUAUGUUAUUUUACCUACGCUUAGGAUGUUGAGCGCAUGUCUCUCUCU